AGAACGAACGCUGGCGGCAUGCCUAAUACAUGCAAGUCGAACGAACUCUUCGGAGUUAGUGGCGCACGGGUGCGUAACGCGUGGGAAUCUGCCCCUUGGUUCGGAAUAACAGUUGGAAACGACUGCUAAUACCGGAUGAUGACGAAAGUCCAAAGAUUUAUCGCCAAGGGAUGAGCCCGCGUAGGAUUAGCUAGUUGGUGAGGUAAAGGCUCACCAAGGCAACGAUCCUUAGCUGGUCUGAGAGGAUGAUCAGCCACACUGGGACUGAGACACGGCCCAGACUCCUACGGGAGGCAGCAGUAGGGAAUAUUGGACAAUGGGCGAAAGCCUGAUCCAGCAAUGCGCGUGAGUGAUGAAGGCCUUAGGGUUGUAAAGCUCUUUACCCGAGAUGAUAAUGACAGUAUCGGAGAAUAAGCCCCGGACUAACUCCGUGCCAGCAGCCGC
rnacentral:rRNA from 1 species